rnacentral:ncRNA from 1 species
CACUCGCCGUUACUGAGGGAAUCCUCGUUAGUUUCUUUUCCUCCGCUUAGUAAUAUGCUUAAAUUCAGCGGGUAGCCUCGUCCGACCUCAGGCCGAAUUCGGUACGCCUUGCUAACCAACUUUCGUUCGUCCGGGCGUCCGUGCCCGUCGUGGUCCCUGGCUCGACUCGCCGUCGCCUCGUCGUCCCGCUAUCGGGGUGCUUGCUCCGCGCGCGUCGCCUCGACCCAGCCGAUGGUCCUCUUCGAGGUCGACUCGGUCUCGCGCGGUCGCGCGGAACACCCCUUGGGGCCGAGCGUGGCAGCGGCACUUCGGCCGGCACCGAGCUCACCAUCGCCGGACGGCCGCCCCUCGAAAAGAGCGACCGACCCGCUGCAGCGACGCUCAAAGCGUCGAUUCCUUUUCGUUCGUCACGACCCUGAGGCGGGCGCGGUCCCGGGAUUAACCCGAGGCCGCAAUUCGCGUUCAGAUCGUCGAUCCGCAAUUCGCGUUCAGAUCGCGUUCAGAUCCAGCUCCAAAAGUAUCGAGUGAAAUUCUUGGAUCGGCGCAAGACGAACGACUGCGAAAGCAUUUGCCAAGAAUGUUUUCUUUAAUCAAGAGCGAAAGUCAGAGGUUCGAAGACGAUCAGAUACCGUCCUAGUUCUGACUAUAAACGAUGCCAACUAGCGAUCGGGGGGCGUUACAUUGACGACCCCUCCGGCAGCUUACGGGAAACAAAGUCUUUGGGUUCCGGGGGAAGUAUGGUUGCAAAGCU